GAAACUAGGAAGAUUAAUUGAUGAUCCCGUUCCUAUACUGCAAAUGGCAAUGAAGUUUGACAGUAUUGUGGCAACUACUUCUAAAUUUAGAGGAGGGGCCUGAUUGCAUCUGACACUACAAACAAGCUCAAUGGGGCAGUGCAACCUUGACUCUCUAGCUACCUUCCCUCCCCACCCACCUCAGUGGUGAGUCCUGAACAACGCAAGCCAUG